CAGAUACGGGAUCAUAUCAAUUACGUGGACAAGUCGUAUGGUGGGACAACCUACGACCCCUUUAUAUGGAGCAACAGCGUUAGUCGAGAUUACUUCGAGCAGCUGGCAUGUGUGGCACCAGCGAAAUAGUGUACAUUAGAUAUGGGAACAAGUCAACUACAUCAUUAACAUGGACGCGUCGUACGGCAGGGCAACCCACGACGCCUUCAUAUGUAGCAAUAGCAUUAGUCAAGACUACUUCGAGCAGCGGGCAUGUGGUACCAGCGAAAUAGCGCACAUUAGGUAGAAGACUCCGGGUAUCCACUGCGGGAACACGGGACACCUUAUGAUUUCUGCAAGCGGCGCCGCAGAAGAAUCCCCGAGGCUAUAACGCCAUACAAAAGAAGGCGCGCUCCACUAUAGAGCUAACAUUUGGGAUAUUAAAAGUUACACCACCACCAUGGCCACUACUGUCUGAUCUGUGAUCCGUGCUGUGCCUAUACGCGAAGACCGUACUCCCGACGACGGCGAUGAAAAUAACACUGCCGGCUUUUCAAGGAGCUACAUUACCAGCUGAUAAUGCAAC